CGAGAGGGCAAGGACUGCUCUUUAUCGGUAUUAAAUGCACUUCAUCUGGAGGUCCUCAGAAACAUAGGCAUCUUAAAUACGUGAAAACAUACAUUUUACACAAACAACAUUAAAGGUGCUGAACAAACAAUUUACAGAUUAAAGAGAGCCGCACUUUGGACAGGAGAAGCAUAAUUUUACUUCAGGCUAAAAGAUACUACGCUUAAUGGCCAAUAGCCAAAGUCAGGGCUGGUGGCUCCUAUCAGAGCUGCUCUGCACCGCUCUGCUGGCAGAUGGGGGAGCGGGACAGGAAUGGGGAAGGAACCCCGGUGUGAGACAGCAGUGUGAAGGCAGGGCACGGGGCUCUCCUCACAGCAUCCCCCCCCCUGCUUCCUAGAAGGUUCUACAAUAAGUAGCAAUAAAUCCCAUGCAGUCUCUGUGUUUAUACCCUUAUAGGUAAAAAUCUGGUUGUAGUUUAAUUUGUUGCAGAACAGUGCUUCAGCAGUCUGAGAACUGUGUUUUUUUUUCUUUUUUAUUACUCUGUGUAUUGCACAGAUCUCUACAGAACCCUGUUUCAUUCAUCCUUCCACUGAAGCAGAGAACUACCCCAGGCAGAGCCAGGACAAGGCCAGGACCAGCAAUGCCUGCAGGCAUUUUGGCUCAGCACUUUAUGCUCCAUUAAGAUACCUGUAGGCUAUGAUCUUUCUGAUCAUAUGAGGGAGAACAAAAAGCUGAUAUGAAUAUACAGCUGUUUCAGGAAGUGGAACUUCUCCCAUCCUGCCAUACUUUACCAUUUUUGAAGAAAAAGUCCCAAAAUUUGAAAUUAAAAUUAGUUCAAAGGACAUAACUCCACCCUGCUGGACUUCUGUUAUUAACUGCUAUUAUGUGAUGGAAGCAGUGUCACAGAAGAUUUAGGCAUGCUGAAGAAAGGAAAAUCUCCAGGGGUCCCAUUUCUUCCCCCAUCCACUUCAGUCCAUCUCUGGAACAGCUUUAUGUAGAAGCAGAAGUAACCAAUUCUACUUCGGGCUACCAUGAAGGUAAAUUUGUGCCAGUUGUCCGUAUUUGCUCCUCUGUUAUGCAGAUUUUGAACACAACACCAAUACGCAAGAAGAAUUUCCGUAGCACAGCUCGAAGCUCAGGAAUCAGGUCAAAUUGCAUGAUUUCACACAAGUAUGGAUAAUAAGUUGAAGCAUGUGCCUUAAACUAUCAGGAAAGAUAUGAAAAAAGAAAAUUAUUCUCUAUUAUUAUAGGAAAGUGCUGAGUUUUUUCCACACACAUGGCUACACCAACUUGUUAGAAUACAAGGCCUUACAAAUCAAAGGCCCUACUGAAUGGCCAAAUAGCCAUCAAGCCCACUGUCUGUUUUCCAAAGCAGCCUUAGUGAAUGCCUACAGUUAUAAAACAUCAAAGCUUGUUUUAUCCUCCUUUCCUUUCCUAAUAAUGCUGAGUGUUAGUUUUUGAGUUUCUACGUAGACACGCAGUGAUAGGACAAGGGGAAAUGGUUUUAAACUAAAAGAGGGGAGAUUUAUAUUAGAUAUUAGGAAGGAGUUCUUUUACUCAGAGGGUAGUGAGGCCCUGGCACUGCUGCCAGAGAAACCAUGGGUGCCCCAUCCCUGGAGCUGCUCAAGACUAGGGUGGAUGGGGCUCUGGGCAGCCUGAGCUGUUGGUGGCAACCAGCCCACGUCAGGGGUGUUAGAACUGGAUGAUCUUUAUGGUCCAUUCCAAUACCAGGCAUUCUAUGAUUCUACAGAGAAAACGGAGGAGACACUUUUGCUGCAAAAUCUUUACAGUAUGAAGAUACUGAGAUUAGGUACCAACAAAUCAGUACCUUGCCAUUUUAUCUACAUAUUUUCAUAGCACACCACAACCACAUGGACAUCUCUGAACUGCUGCUAUGCGGAAAAACCAAAUCACCACUAACAUCCUUUUCUUCAAACAUUGGUGAGUUGCAAUAAAACACAGAAGACUAAGCAGAAGUGAUGUGGAAUCACAUAUUUUGCAAUACAAGGAACAUACAAAAAAACACCAACACAAAAACCCACACUUUUGAACUAUAUCCUUUUUAAAAUUGACAAACAACAAAAAAAUACCCACAAACUUAAGCAACCUCUAGAAGUUUCUCUGCAUGAGAUAUUCUAGGGAUGUAUGCAUUCACAUUUUCCUCAGAAAGGCUAAGAUUCUAAAGAUUAUUUUUUUGCCAUCACUGUCAAGGAACUAAAAUUACAGUUGCAGAAUGAUGAAAUUUACCUCUACCAUUCUGUGCUGCUGUAAUACACCGUAAGCACAUCCUUUACUGCACACUCACAGUGCUUUAUAUGAAAGAUCUGCAGUAAUAUUUCCACACAACUGAGUUUCAUGGAUGUAGUCCCAUUUUUACAAUGUGAAAUUCUUGCCAAAAGAAAGGAAGCGUAACAACUCCUACAUUCCAAGGAGAGUACAUACUAUAUGAAUGAGCAAAUUAGCCAUCUUGCAGUAUGUAUGACAAAGAAUGAAUUCAAUGAAAGCAGAAAUGAAAACACCUGACUGCAAACAGACAUAGCAUCCAGCCCAUUCUUACCUUUUCAUCACUGAUUUUUAGUGUUUUUGUUAAAAGCAGCAGCAGGAGAUUGGUCCAAGCUUCUCUGUGGCUUUCUGAGUUCACAGUAAUAAAAUAUGCCAGGGCUUCACUGCAUACACUGAAGAGAUUCCAAGUUCAAACAAACCACAAGGAAAACCCACAAUAAGUUUUUGUUACAUGCCCUAUUAGUCCUCUCACAGUGUAUCCUGUUUACACAUAAGAUGCAUUUCCAUGGAAAAGUUUUC
rnacentral:lncRNA from 1 species